rnacentral:tRNA from 1 species
GGGGUUGUAGCUCAGUAGUAGAGCACUUGCCUAGCAUGUAUGAGGCCCUGGGUUAGAUCCCCAGCACCA